rnacentral:rRNA from 1 species
UACGUAGGCAGCGAGCGUUGUUCGGAGUUACUGGGCGUAAAGAGUGCGUAGGCGGUUUUCUAAGUUUGGUGUGAAAUCUCCCGGCUCAACUGGGAGGGUGCGCCGAAGACUGGAAGGCUUGAGUAUGGGAGAGGUAAGCGGAAUUCCUGGUGUAGCGGUGAAAUGCGUAGAUAUCAGGAGGAACACCAAUUGCGAAGGCAGCUCGCUGGGACGUAACUGACGCUGAGACGCGAAAGCGUGGGGAGCAAACAGG